GAUGAACGCUGGCGGCGUGCCUAAUACAUGCAAGUCGAGCGAACAGAUGAGGAGCUUGCUCCUCAGACGUUAGCGGCGGACGGGUGAGGAACACGUGGAUAACCUACCUAUAAGAUUGGGAUAACUUCGGGAAACCGGAGCUAAUACCGGAUAAUCUAUUGAACCGCAUGGUUCAAUAGUGAAAGACGGUUUUGCUGUCACUUAUAGAUGGAUCCGCUCCGCAUUAGCUAGUUGGUAAGGUAACGGCUUACCAAGGCGACGAUGCGUAACCGACCUGGGAGGGAGAUCGGCCACACCGGAACGGAGGCACGGUCCAGACUCCUACGGGAGGCAGCAGGAGGGAAUCUUCCGCAAUGGGCGAAAGCCUGACGGCGGACCGCCGCGGGGGUGAUGGAGGUCUUCCGAUCGUAAAACUCUGUUAUUAGGGAAAAACAAAUGUGUAAGUAACUAUGCACGGCUUGACGGUACCUAAUAAGAAGGCCACGGCUAACUACGUU
rnacentral:rRNA from 1 species